rnacentral:tRNA from 1 species
AGUGGUGUGGCCCAGUGGUAGAGCACUUGCCUAGCAUGUGUGAGGCACUGGGUUCAAUCUUCAGCACCACAU